rnacentral:lncRNA from 1 species
CAUAUUAGUCUCCGAUAUUGACUGAUAAUUCUGAGGGAAGUGAUUGCGCUGAAGGCAAAAACAGCAGAUCCAGAUCUUAGUAGACGAGAAAUCAACGAUGGAGAAAGGAUUGAGCACCGAUCGGCAAUUGCGGCAACGGAGUGGAGCGUAAGGAAGAGUGGGAGUAUUAGGGAAUGGUUUUAACGGCGUGUAUACGGCGGAAACGGGGAUUACGCAUUGCGCGGCCUCCGAUUUGCUUCCCGAGGAGUGCUAGGGAAAGGUUUUAACGGCGUGUAUAUGGCAGAAACGGGGAUUACGCAUUGCGCGGCCUCCGAUUUGCUUCCCGGCAAUACGUUCCACGGCAUCCUUACGGCGUCUUGUGUUUCUAAUUCUAAGAACUCCGUCAUUGUUGCGGCGGCG